rnacentral:rRNA from 1 species
AUUGAACGCUGGCGGCAGGCCUAACACAUGCAAGUCGAGCGGAUGAAGGGAGCUUGCUCCUGGAUUCAGCGGCGGACGGGUGAGUAAUGCCUAGGAAUCUGCCUGGUAGUGGGGGAUAACGUCCGGAAACGGGCGCUAAUACCGCAUACGUCCUGAGGGAGAAAGUGGGGGAUCUUCGGACCUCACGCUAUCAGAUGAGCCUAGGUCGGAUUAGCUAGUUGGUGGGGUAAAGGCCUACCAAGGCGACGAUCCGUAACUGGUCUGAGAGGAUGAUCAGUCACGCUGGAACUGAGACACGGUCCAGACUCCUACGGGAGGCAGCAGUGGGGAAUAUUGGACAAUGGGCGAAAACCUGAUCCAGCCAUGCCGCGUGUGUGAAGAAGGUCUUCGGAUUGUAAAGCACUUUAAGUUGGGAGGAAGGGCAGUAAGUUAAUACCUUGCUGUUUUGACGUUACCAACAGAAUAAGCACCGGCUAACUUCGUG